UGACCACUAGAUGGCGUCCUAUCACCACUGCAGAACCCGGAUUUGGAGCCUUUACCAACAAGCGUUGGAGGUAUUUUUGCUUUCUAUCAAUAGGCCAGAGCCUAAGGCCUGAUUAUACAACUUACAACAGUUCAUUCUUUCCAAAAAACAAAACCUGUGGCUAUCUAGGGCAAUUAUACAUCACCUCAAAUCCUUCAAUUGCGAUUUGGCAACUCUUCUCUCAUCGCCAUUGGUUGGAGUGACAGCACUUCUAUGAGCUCACCUGACUGUAGUGGGUGUGGCCUGCGAUGAUGCCACAGCACCUAAACUCCACCUCCAACAGCAACACAACCAAUCAUCUGUCAACACUCCAAAUAUGGAAAGGUCCUAACCCUUUAAAGAGCAGCUUAAUGAAGCAGCAAAGCGGCUCACAAUCGGAGACUCCAGCCCAAACAGCUCCAAGACUAACAGCCCAGGAGGGCUCUGGUUAAAUGAAGUGUCUUGCAUGGGAACCGAGUCAGUGGGGAGGGCUAUCACUACAGUAUUCUUUACGCCUGUCAGUCAUCAAAGCUGUCAGAGUGCAGUGGAGCAGACGAUGGCUUCACGCUGCAUUUGAGGGGUGUGUCGAGAGUAGCCCAUGUUGAAUAGAUCUGAGUGUCAGGGCUCAUAUCCAUUCAUAAAGCAGAUUAGAAAUGAAGAAAGAGUACUUAUAAACCAUACAAUGGGGGGAAACCUGCUUUACAACUGCGCUUAUGUUGGGAUGUUUCAGACAGAUGCAGAAUGGCUGUGCCUAGAAAAACUGGCUUUGUUCAAACUAUUUAUUCCCUGUAUUUAAAGCAUUUUAACUAUAGGCUAGUAGAGCAGCUGGAUGUUCAAAUUUUAGCCUUACAGAAUGGAACUGCUUUUUUAAACCUUUUUUUAUAAUCUUGACACAUGCUACACAGUGAUUGUAAUGACACAAGGUUAUAAACGAGGCAGUCAGAUUAAUUAUACACACAAAGGUUAUUGAGAAAAGUAUAAAAAGUGAAUCAUGAUCUCUGCAAACAUGUCUCAUGAAUAUUAACCAAAGUAUAUUAGUUAAUAUUCAGUGUUAGUUAAAGGGGUAGUGUACCCUAAAAUGGCAAUCUAGUCAUGAUUCGCUAUUAUGUCAUUUUGAGGCUGUAUGACUUACUUUCUUCUCUGAAAUAUCAGGUUGGAGAGCAUAGUGGA